CCUGAGGUAGAGCAGAACGUCAUGGCGAAAGAGUGUGAUAGAGGAAAGAAGCUCAGGACGUAGUCACAACCCACCUGCCUACAGUUACCUCCCAGUUAAUAUAUACUAGUGAAUUAAUGUGCUAAAUUAGGGUAAAGCUUUCAUAACCCAAUCAUUUCAUAUUUAAACUUUCUUGCAUUAUCUUACACAUGAGGAAUGGGGAGACACCAUAUCUAAACCAUUACAGACAUGUUUGUAAUCCAGAACUACAUUCUAGCUGUUGGUAAAAGCUGCACUGAUUUUUCAUUAAUUUGGCUGUUGUAACUUCUCUCUUCCCUUCCUGAAGAAACCCUGUUCUGUCACUCUUGUGUUAUCCACAAACAUCCUAGAUAAUCUAUUUUUUAUCAAUCUCCUUAUUUUCAAUUUUUCUAUCAGACCAUAUUCUUUGUAUUCUCCCUCUUGGGCUUCUCUCUUUUCCUACUUAUCUCCUUUGUAGUUGAUCUGUCAUCACUUUUCUACUGUGAGCAGAUCUUUUGGCUAUUUUCUUGAGUUUUUCCUUUUCUCUUUUUUUAAUUUUUUUUAACAUUUAUUUUUAGUUUUUGGCGGACACAACAUCUUUAUUUUAUUUGUAUGUGGUGCUGAGGAUCAAACCAGCGCCUUGCACAUGCCAGGCAAGCGCACUACCACUUGAGCCACAUCCCCAGCCCCCUUCCUUUUCUCUUGCAAGUAGUUUUUUGUUUUUGUUUUUGUUUUCAGCUUAUCACAACUUCAUUCUCUGUUUCUCUCCCAUUGUCAGUGCUCUUGGAUAAAGUAGAUAUUCUCUCUCAGCAGUUCUCCUGCCCAGCCUUCUCAACAUGGCUAUCAACUAGAGAAAGGUUUAUUACCUUGUAUUGGAAUGGUUUAUGUCAAACAGCAUGUUUUCUACAAGAAUUUUUAAAAUUUUUCUAAUCUAUGAUUAUUAAAAAAAUAAAUGUUAAACAUAUUCAGGAUCAUCUAGGUGUCCUUUUUUUAAUAGACAAGGAUUGUGACAAUU
rnacentral:lncRNA from 1 species